AACGCUGGCUGUGUGCCUAAUACAUGCAUGUCGAGCGGAAGUAGCAAUACUUUAGCGGCGAAUGGGUGAGUAACACGUGCUUAAUCUACCUUUUAGAUUGGAAUACCUAAUGGAAACAUUGGUUAAUGCCGGAUACGCAUGAAGUCGCAUGACUUCGUUGUGAAAGGAGCGUUUGCUCCGCUAAGAGAUGAGGGUGCGGAACAUUAGCUAGUUGGUGAGGUAAUGGCCCACCAAGGCUAUGAUGUUUAGCCGGGUCGAGAGACUGAACGGCCACAUUGGGACUGAGAUACGGCCCAAACUCCUACGGGAGGCAGCAGUAGGGAAUAUUCCACAAUGAGCGAAAGCUUGAUGGAGCGACACAGCGUGCACGAUGAAGGCCCUCGGGUUGUAAAGUGCUGUUGCAAGGGAAGAACAGUUAGUUGAGGAAAUGCUUCUAAUCUGACGGUACCUUGUUAGAAAGCGAUGGCUAACUAUGUGCCAGCAGCCGCGGUAAUACAUAGGUCGCAAGCGUUAUCCGGAAUUAUUGGGCGUAAAGCGUUCGUAGGCUGUUUAUUAAGUCUGGAGUCAAAUCCCAGGGCUCAACCCUGGCUCGCUUUGGAUACUGGUAAACUAGAGUUAGAUAGAGGUAAGCGGAAUUCCAUGUGGAGCGGUGAAAUGCGUAGAUAUAUGGAAGAACACCAAAGGCGAAGGCAGCUUACUGGGUCUAUACUGACGCUGAGGGACGAAAGCGUGGGGAGCAAACAGGAUUAGAUACCCUGGUAGUCCACGCUGUAAACGAUGAUCAUUAGUCGGUGGAAAACUACUGACGCAGCUAACGCAUUAAAUGAUCCGCCUGAGUAGUAUGCUCGCAAGAGUGAAACUUAAAGGAAUUGACGGGGACCCGCACAAGCGGUGGAGCAUGUGGUUUAAUUUGAUGAUACGCGGAGAACCUUACCCACUCUUGACAUCCCCUGCAAAGCUAUAGAGAUAUAGUGGAGGUUAACAGGGUGACAGAUGGUGCAUGGUUGUCGUCAGCUCGUGUCGUGAGAUGUUUGGUCAAGUCCUGCAACGAGCGCAACCCCUAUCUUUAGUUACUAACGAGUCAUGUCGAGGACUCUAGAGAUACUGCCUGGGUAACCGGGAGGAAGGUGGGGAUGACGUCAAAUCAUCAUGCCUCUUACGAGUGGGGCUACACACGUGCUACAAUGGUCGGUACAAAGAGAAGCAAUAUGGCGACAUGGAGCAAAUCUCAAAAAGCCGAUCUCAGUUCGGAUUGAAGUCUGCAAUUCGACUUCAUGAAGUCGGAAUCGCUAGUAAUCGCAGAUCAGCUACGCUGCGGUGAAUACGUUCUCGGGUCUUGUACACACCGCCCGUCACACCAUGGGAGCUGGUAAUACCCAAAGUCGGUUUGCUAACCUCGGAGGCGACUGCCUAAGGUAGGACUGGUGACUGGGGUGAAGUCGUAACAAGGUAUCCCUACGAGAACGUGGGGAUGGAUUACCUCCUUUCU
rnacentral:rRNA from 1 species